CUGCUAAAUAGCCAGGCCGGCUUUCACUGGUCUCUGGCUUCUUAGAGGGACUAUCGGCAUCUAGCCGAUGGAAGUUUGAGGCAAUAACAGGUCUGUGAUGCCCUUAGAUGUUCUGGGCCGCAUGUGCACUACACUGACAGAGCCAGCGAGUUUUUUUCCUUGGCUGGAAGGUCUG
rnacentral:rRNA from 1 species